rnacentral:rRNA from 1 species
GACGAACGCUGGCGGCGCGUCUAAGACAUGCAAGUCGUGCGAUUAAAGCUCCCUUCGGGGAGUGUAUAAAGCGGCGGACGGGUGAGUAACACGUAGCUAACCUGUCCCUCGGCCCGGGAUAACGGUGCGAAAGCGCCGCUAAUACCGGAUACGCCUUUCGGUCUAUCCGACUGAUAGUGAAAGCGGGCCUUAAAACCCGCGCCGAAGGAGGGGGCUGCGGCCUAUUAGCUUGUUGGUGAGGUAACGGCUCACCAAGGCUGCGAUGGGUAGCUGAUCUGAGAGGGGAUGGUCAGCCACACUGGGACUGAGACACGGCCCAGACUCCUACGGGAGGCAG